AACGCGAAGAACCUUACCUAGCCUUGACAUGCAUCUCUAAGUCGGUGAAAGCCGGCGACUGUAGCAAUACAGAAUUUGCACAGGUGCUGCAUGGCUGUCGUCAGCUCGUGUCGUGAGAUGUUGGGUUAAAUCCCGCAACGAGCGCAACCCCUGUGAACUGUCGCCACCGGCCUUCGGGCCGAGUACUCUGUUCAGACUGCCCUGUGAAACGGGGAGGAAGGUGGAGAUGACGUCAAGUCAGCAUGGCCCUUACGGCUAGGGCUGCACACGUACUACAAUGCUCAGUACAGAAUGAACCGAAACCGCGAGGUGGAGGAAAUCCCUAAAACUGAGCCCAAUUCGGAUUGGAGGCUGCAACUCGCCUCCAUGAAGCCGGAAUCACCGGUAAUGGCGUAUCAGGUACGACGCCGUGAAUACGUUCCCGGGCCUUGUACACACCG
rnacentral:rRNA from 1 species